UAGGGAAUCUUCCGCAAUGGACGCAAGUCUGACGGAGCAACGCCGCGUGAGUGAAGAAGGAUUUCGGGUCGUAAAACUCUGUUGUUAGAGAAGAACAGCGCAUAGAGUAACUGUUAUGCGUGUGACGGUAUCUAACCAGAAAGCCACGGCUAACUACGUGCCAGCAGCCGCGGUAAUACGGAGGGGGCAAGCGUUAUCCGGAAUUAUUGGGCGUAAAGCGCGCGUAGGCGGUCAAUUAAGUCUGAUGUGAAAGCCCCCGGCUCAACCGGGGAGGGUCAUUGGAAACUGGUUGACUUGAGUGCAGAUGCGGUGAGUGGAAUUCCAUGUGUAGCGGUGCAAUGCGUAGAUCUAUGGAGAAACCCCAGUGGCGAAGGCGACUCUCUGGUCUGUAACUGCCGCUGAGGUUCGAACGCGUGGGUAGCAACCAGG
rnacentral:rRNA from 1 species